rnacentral:rRNA from 1 species
GACGUAGGGCGCGAGCGUUGUCCGGAUUUAUUGGGCGUAAAGGGCUCGUAGGCGGUUUGUCGCGUCGGGAGUGAAAUCCACUGGCUUAACUGGUGGCUUGCUUUCGAUACGGGCAGACUGGAGGUAUGCAGGGGAGAACGGAAUUCCUGGUGUAGCGGUGAAAUGCGCAGAUAUCAGGAGGAACACCUGUGGUGUAGACAGCUUACUGGACCAUUUCUGACGCUGAGACACGAAAGCGUGGGUAGCAAACAGG